GAUGAAGAACGUAGCGAAAUGCGAUAAGUAAUGUGAAUUGCAGAAUUCAGUGAAUCAUCGAAUCUUUGAACGCAUCUUGCGCUCCUUGGUAUUCUGAGGAGCAUGCCUGUUUGAGUGUCAUUAAAUUCUCAACUACACUGACUUUGAAUUGGUGUGGCUUGGAUUUGGGGGGAAAAUUGUUGUGGGCUUUUUGUAUAGUCUGCUCCCCUGAAAUUGAUUAGCGGUACCUUUGUGGAACUGUCUACAGGUGUGAUAAUUAUCUACAUCUUAGACAUCUGCUGGAAUGCUGCUUUCUAAACCUUACUUGUAUUGACAAUCUUGACCUCAAAUCAGGUAGGACUACCCGCUGAACUUAAGCAUAUCAAUAAGUGGAGGA
rnacentral:misc_RNA from 1 species